AUAUUGCUGAAGAGUCCUACAUUAGGACGAAACAGCCGUCCAAUAU
rnacentral:hammerhead_ribozyme from 1 species